rnacentral:rRNA from 1 species
AUUGAACGCUGGCGGAAUGCUUUACACAUGCAAGUCGAGCGGCAGCGCGGGGCGAACCCUCGGCGGCGAGCGGCGAACGGGUGAGUAAUACAUCGGAACGUGUCCGUUAAGUAGGGGGAGUAGCGUCGGCGAAAGCCGGAUUAAUACCGCAUAAGCUCUGAGGAGGAAAGCGGGGCGUCCGUAAGACCUCGCGCUGUUGGAGCGGCCGAUGUCGGAUUAGCUAGUUGGUGGGGUAAAGGCCCACCAAGGCGACGAUCCGUAGCUGGUCUGAGAGGAUGAUCAGCCACACUGGAACUGAGACACGGUCCAGACUCCUACGGGAGGCAGCAGUGGGGAAUUUUGGAACAAGUGGGGGCAACCCUGAUCCAGCCAUUCCGCGUGAGUGAAGAAGGCCUUCGGUUGUAAGUA